rnacentral:tRNA from 1 species
GUCCACUGGCCCAGAGUUGUUAUCACAAUGAAGAUAUUGCCAUCAAAUGUAGCUCAAC